GAACCCUAACGCUCCCGAUCCAGAUCCCUCCCGUCACCGCCACCCACCCCUCCCCACCUCAUAUCCUCUCCCCUCUCCCCACUCUCAGGUCCAACUGGCCCGAGAUGGAGGCCGUCGUGGACAUGGUCGCCACCACCGACCGCGAGUGGGGGUCCUGGUCCUCUCCCUUGUCCUCCUCGGCGGCGGCAUCUGGCUGAGCCACCGGGCCGCCACCACCGACUGCUAGCGGUUCCUGGAGCGGCCGGCCAUCACGCUGGAGGCGCCGCUCCUAGCGCUCUCCCUCGCGGGGCUCGCGGGGUCCCUCUGCCGCGUCUUCAUCGUCUUCUCCUUCGUCGUCACCAACCGCGUCCGGACCUCCCCCAAAGGCGAAUCGGCGAUGAGUUCCACCAGAGGCGUCGCUGGCCGCGGCAAGGCGAAGGCGACCAAGUCGGUGUCGCGGUCGUCCAAGGCCGGGCUCUAGUUCCCCGUCGGCGGCAUCGCGCUACCUCAAGGCCGGCAAGUACGCCGAGCGCGACGCCGACUUCCUUGUCUCUACUUCCCCUUCCCCUUCCCCGGUCCCGAUCCUCUCUCUACUUCCUUAUCUAAUCCCCUUUUUUUGGGUUGGAUUUGAACUGGCAGGCGACCUCCAUGGACGAUAUCGACAAGAUGACGAGGACGAGGAGGAGGACGACCAGGAUCUGCGUUCCCCCCUGAGAAAAUCGACGCUAGAUAUCCUCUGCUUCUGUCUGAUUGACCUCUGGCGGCGUCCGGCGGGAGUUCUUGGGCGGAGGAGGGAGCUUGGGUUCCGUCCAUCUGUUCGAUCCGAUGGGGGACGUGUCCACGAUUCAACGCCCAUCCGACAUUGUCCCCAAGGGUGAUCAGGUUGGGGGGCUGGUGUCGGCCGUAUGGACCAACGACACCCACAAAAUGUACAUCAGCUCCAUGGAGGCGUCCUUCAUGCAGCAGCUCUAUGGCCAGCAGCAGCACCACCACCACGCCACUCCCGACAAGAGCAUGAUCCAUGUGGGUAGUGGCCAUGGGCUCAAGGUGCUCCAAGAGGGAGCGUUUGAUAACCCCAGGUCUGAGAAGAACGUGCCUCGCCUGCGUGAUGUUGGUGCACGAGGCCUGCCCGAGGAUCCGUGGGCGAGGCGUUUCAAGCCACGCGAUUCCGCUAUGAAUCGUCGUGGUGAUGGGGUUGGUUCUUCCGAUGGUGAAUCGGGCACCAAUCAGUUCAAGUGAUGGCUCCGAAGCAUGGAAGAGGAGUGAGCACUUGCGUCGGAGGAAAUCAUGUUGACAGAACCUCAAGUUGUUACACUUUUCAUCUUGUUUGCUGAUUGUUUCCUUCAGUGUAUGUUUUGUUCAGUUUGACAGAAGUUUAGAAUUGUUAUGCGGUGUUGGCUGGCUGUUAGUCUGAUAUUAAUUCAGAAGCAUUGAUUUUCCUUGGUAUAUGUUGUGUUCAGUUCUAGCAGAAGUUCAGAACUGUUAUGCGGUGUUGGCUGUUAGUGUGAUAUGAAUCUAUAAGUGUUGAUUUUCCUUGGUACAUGUUGUGUUCAGUUUUGGCAGAAGUUCAGAACUGUUAUGCAGCGUUGGCUCUUAGUCUGAUAUGAGAUGCGCAUAUAUUUUUUGCAUCUUAUAUAGGCAUUAUGACAUGUUAUAAAGUGUUGGCUCUUAGUCUGUUAUGACAUGUUAUAUAUGAACUGUACAUGGUUUGUCUAAUAUUUCCCUUGACUGACAUGUGAUGUGGUUCCCUGCCAUGGAUGAGCUACAGCCGGAUUAGCUAGGGUCAAUUUAUGUUGCUGCUAAUGCAUAUUGAUCCAUAUGUUCUUGUUUCUGUACACAUGGGCAGCUUACACCUAACUGACUGACUGUUGAUUUGUUCGAGCUGAUUUGUAUUGUUGGUGGUCAUCUACCUACUGAUUUGCUGCUGCAAGUUAGAAUGCCUACUGUUCUAUGAUGUAGAAGACUACUAAAUUAUCUAGUUUGCAUACUACUAAAUUAUCUAGUUUGCAUCCCUUUGAUGUCAUGUAUGCUACUGAUUUUUUGCAGGUAAUUAGAAUGUUGUAGGUUCAGUACUAACGUGGCAUAAUCCAUUGGAAUAAAUUAGAUGGGAAUAUAUGGUAGGUUUAGUACAAACGAGGCUUAAUCCAUUGUUAUUUUUGUUUCCAAUGGGACAAUCAGAAUGUUGUAGGUUUAGUACAUGACGCCAUGGAAGGUUGUUCAUGUUCUGUCCUUCCUCUUAUGAUCUGCCGGAUACUAGAGUUCAUGUCUAUACAUAGCUCACUGCUCACUGCGACACUGAAGCACAAAUAGUCAAUUACACGAUGCACAAAAUCAUGCCAGGUUGCUAGUAUAUAGCUCACUUGCUAGUACACGCCAGUAGUCAAUUACACAGGUUCUCCUCGGCUAGAACAAGCUUGUACUGAUGAACUUGCACGGUCUCUACCUAUUUAUACUGUUAAAUUUUGUUCUAUAACUUCAGCUUUUACUGAUAAAAUUGCACAGAGCACAGUACAAUCUUUGCCUUCUGUUAUACUAAUAAUUGUUGUUUAGUUCUAAUUCACAGAGCACAGUACAAUCUUUGCCUUCUGUUAUACUAAUAAUUGUUGUUUAGUUCUAAUUCCUUUUCCACUGUACAAUUGUAUAGAUGCAGUCCCACUCACAAGGGAGGCACACAUGCAGCAUGGCCUCUGCCACGGUGGCUAGAUGUUGUACAGCAGCACAGGAAUGCUGGAUCAGCUGCUGCUACUCGCUGCAAGAUCUGCUUAUCAACCUGAGAUGUUGCUGCUCAAGUCAUGGCGACGACCAGUGAUGCUCUGCUGAGCUGAUCCAACCUGGGAUGAUGAUGUUGAUCUGCUGCUCAACAAGGUCAUGCUGCUUCAUUCAGCCUCUACGAACAUUUACAAGAGCUCUAGCCUGCAAGUGAAGGAAGUCAGAAGUAUAUUUGUAGUAUGAUAGUAUCUUGGUGAAAUGAACGAUGUAAAGAUUGUGCUAUUACAAGAGCUCUAACCUAGGACAACCUCAGAAGUAUAUUUGUAGUAUUUUGGCUAAUUGGCAUGUGUUUUGAUAAUUUUCAUCUGUCU
rnacentral:rRNA from 1 species